rnacentral:lncRNA from 1 species
CAGCCACUGAGGGCUGCUCAUGCAGCAAAAAUGUACAGGACAGCAGAGUCACCCUUCCUUCCUUCCCCAAAGUCAAGGAAGGAAGGACCGUCUCCUUGAUGACCUUGAUUAGAGCUGAUGGACAGCAUGGGGCUUCCAUAAGGAAAUUUGAUGGCUAGCUUCUUCAGCUAAUGGAUGACACAGAAUAUUGCCUGAAUCUAUUAUAUAUCUAUGAACACCAAAUUCCUAGAUUUCAAGACCCUCCCAAUUGCUGGAAGUCAUCUUAAGAGGUUGCUUGACAUGGGCCUCAGGAAUGCCUUGUGGAGUUCAGCACUCAGCUCUGUCACCACAGCCUCGCAGAGAGGAGUGGAUGGUUGUGUCUGGGAGUCCAUCUAA